rnacentral:ncRNA from 1 species
UACGGAUAAAGUGGCCAUUGCGGAGAGAACUGGCAGAUCGUAAAGACGCCGUAAAUACCUCCCUGUAGGCUCGAGCCGCGCCAUCCUUGGCGCGGACGCUUU